rnacentral:rRNA from 1 species
UGGGGAAUAUUGGACAAUGGGCGCAAGCCUGAUCCAGCCAUGCCGCGUGAGUGAUGAAGGCCUUAGGGUUGUAAAGCUCUUUUGGCGGGGACGAUAAUGACGGUACCCGCAGAAUAAGCCCCGGCUAACUUCGUGCCAGCAGCCGCGGUAAUACGAAGGGGGCUAGCGUUGUUCGGAAUCACUGGGCGUAAAGCGCACGUAGGCGGACCUUCAAGUCAGGGGUGAAAUCCCGGGGCUCAACCUCGGAACUGCCUUUGAUACUGUUGGUCUCGAGUCCGGAAGAGGUGGGUGGAAUUCCUAGUGUAGAGGUGAAAUUCGUAGAUAUUAGGAAGAACACCGGUGGCGAAGGCGGCCCACUGGUCCGGUACUGACGCUGAGGUGCGAAAGCGUGGGGAGCAAACAGGAUUAGAUACCCCAGUAGUCCCUGAGCGGGCUGGCAAGGCGCAU